AGGUGUGAUCAUACCAGAACUAAUGCACCUGAUCCCAUCAGAACUCUGCAGAUAAGCGUGCUUGGGCACGAGUAGUACAAGGAUGGGUGACCACUUGGGAAGUCUUCGUGUUGCAUCUC
rnacentral:rRNA from 2 species